UAGGGAAUCUUCGGCAAUGGGGGGAACCCUGAUGCAGCGACGCCGCGUGAUUUAGAAGGCCUUCGGGUUGUAAAAAUCUUUUCUAUGGGAAGAAAAUGACAGUACCAUAGGAAUAAGGACCGGCUAAUUACGUGCCAGCAGCCGCGGUAAUACGUAAGGUCCGAGCGUUGUCCGGAAUCAUUGGGCGUAAAGGGUACGUAGGCGGGUAAGCAAGUUAGAAGUGAAAUCCUGUAGCUCAACUACAGUAAGCUUUUAAAACUGCUCAUCUUGAGAUAUGGAAGGGAAAGUGGAAUUCCUAGUGUAGCGGUGAAAUGCGCAGAUAUUAGGAGGAAUACCGGUGGCGAAGGCGACUUUCUGGCCAUAAUCUGACGCUGAGGUACGAAAGCGUGGGUAGCAAACAGG
rnacentral:rRNA from 1 species